UACAAAGGUAUUGUAAUAAGGUUUUAAUUGAAUGCUAAAAGAAUGGAAUUACAGGGAAAAGUUUUUUUAAAUUUAAUAAUUGAAGUUAUUUUAAUUUGUGAAGAAACAAUUAUAUAAAUUAAAGACAAGAAGACCCUAAGAAUUUAAGAAUUUUUAUUAAUAUAUUAUAUGUAUAUAUAUAUAAAUAAAAUUCUUAGUUGGGGCAACUAAAAAAUAUAUUAAACUUUUUUUUAAAAAAAAUGAUCCAUUAUUAAUGAUAAUAUGAAAAAAAUACUCUAGGGAUAACAGCGUAAUAAUUUUUGAUAGAUCUUAUAGACAAAAUAGUUUGCGACCUCGAUGUUGGAUUAGGAUACUUUUUUAAUGAAGAUGUUAAAAAAAGAAGUUUGUUCAACUUUUAAAUUCCUACAU
rnacentral:rRNA from 1 species